AUGUUUGAAAAGCAGUUUACAGGUGAUGGAGAUGUAAAAGUGUCAGUGAACCAGAGCGGCGUGUUGGACUCGGUUCCUGCAGGAGCGUCAGUGACUCUGCAGUGCUCGGUUCUCUCUGAGAGCAGAGCAGCAGAACACCAAGUGCUCUGGUUCAGAGCUGCUUCACCACAAUCCCAUCCUCAAAUCAUUUACACUCAUCACAACAGCAGCCGUCAGUGUGAGAGCGGCUCUUCUACACACACCUGUGUGUACGACUUCUCCAAGAACAUCCUCAGCAUCAAUGAUACUGAAACUUACUACUGCGCUGUGGCCGUGUGUGGGAAGAUCAUUUUUGGGAACGGGACUCAAGUACAGUUGGCUGUAAAGGGAGAAACUGUGAAUAUUGCUGUGGUGAGUCUUCAGUAA